GGAUAACUACCGGAAACGGUAGCUAAUACCGGAUAAUUUAUUUCACAGCAUUGUGGAAUAAUGAAAGACGGAGCAAUCUGUCACUUGGGGAUGGGCCUGCGGCGCAUUAGCUAGUUGGUGGGGUAAUGGCUCACCAAGGCGACGAUGCGUAGCCGACCUGAGAGGGUGAACGGCCACACUGGGACUGAGACACGGCCCAGACUCCUACGGGAGGCAGCAGUAGGGAAUCUUCCGCAAUGGGCGAAAGCCUGACGGAGCAACGCCGCGUGAGUGAUGAAGGUUUUCGGAUCGUAAAGCUC
rnacentral:rRNA from 1 species